rnacentral:lncRNA from 1 species
GUCGCGGUUCCCAGAGUAUGAAAUGUCAGCCUCCGGCGGCGGGCGGCAAGGACACUGGCCCAGCAGUGCUCAAAAUAGACUCGAGGACUGAGUGUCCAGCCCCGGGAGGCGCUGGGCCCAGGCGAGCUGUCCCCUUUCUCUUUCUUUACAGAUAAAAAGGAAGGAAGCUGACAGGUCAGCCCCGAGGACUCGCCGUCUUAGACGUGGAACUCAGUGGGACCGCAGACAGAGCCCGUCUGCAGGGACCUCUGACCACGCGCAAGUCCCUGGGGUCUGGCAGUACAGCCUGCGGUGCCCCCUGUCCGCCCCCUCCCCAGGGACUGGCCCUGCAGCCUGCCGAGGCUGGCACCGCCCAGAGCUUGUGCCGUGACGGAGAAGCUCUGUACCUGCUACGUCCACUCCAGUACCCACCAGCCACGUGCAGCCAGAGGGCGUUUGAAGAGUGACACCGCGAUCGGCGCCCGCGGUACGCGCUCUUUCGUGUUAACAGAUUUAGACUGAAAUGGCCAUAUUUGAAUGGUGGCUAGUGGCUACUGGUGUUGGACAGCUUCAUGUCCGGCCCAGGGGGAGAGAGCAGCGACGGACUGACAGCCUCUGCCACACUUGGGGUGAGACGGGCAAACCUGAAGGCCACGCUCCUCAGUGACCAGGGGACGGGUGGCAUCCCAGGACCUGAGGCCUAAUCAGUGACCCUGGGUCCACCCAGUCUCAGCGUUUAGGAGAAAGCAUGUCUGUGCAGUUUAAGGGGAGUCCCUGCUGUCCAGGCUCUUGGCCUUGGCUCAGCAACCAGAGAGCGUCCAAAACCCCACACCAGCCACGCUCCAGGUUCUGCUGGAACCCUGAGCCGGACACCCCCCCCCCAGCCCCAGCCACCAGGGCCUCCUCUCCGCCCAGCCUCCCUGGCCUCAUCCACUUCACUCUGCCCUCCACUCCAGGGUGGACCCUGCCCCACCCCUGGAGGCCCUGAAAGCAAGGGCCACCUCUGACUCCAUUUCGGCAUCCCCCACCCAAAGCCAGCUCCCGCCGGCCCCCGGGGAAGCCCAUGUGAUUCCAGUGUGUAUCUUCCCACUGUGGCCACCAUGAUGAGACAGAUGCCAUUGUCACGCCAGUUCCCAGGUGAGGACUAAGACGCAGAGGGGCGGGGAGUGGGGAGCUUUGGCCAAGGGCAGAAAAGAAAAUGGCAGGUGUGAGACUCGGAUCUGGGAAUAUGUCCCUCCCAGGACUUGUUCAGCCAAUGGAAGUCAAGUCCACUGUGUCCUUCUUUGCAAACUCAAUAAAUGUUAGGUGACAGAUGGAAAAGUGAGUGGAAGGG